rnacentral:rRNA from 1 species
UACGUAGGGUGCGAGCGUUGUCCGGAAUUAUUGGGCGUAAAGAGCUCGUAGGCGGUCUGUCGCGUCUGCUGUGAAAACUCAGGGCUUAACCCUGAGCUUGCAGUGGGUACGGGCAGACUAGAGUGCGGUAGGGGAGACUGGAAUUCCUGGUGUAGCGGUGAAAUGCGCAGAUAUCAGGAGGAACACCGGUGGCGAAGGCGGGUCUCUGGGCAGUAACUGACGCUGAGGAGCGAAAGCGUGGGGAGCGAACAGG